GACGAACGCUGGCGGCGUGCUUAACACAUGCAAGUCGAACGGAAAGGCCCUGCUUUUGUGGGGUGCUCGAGUGGCGAACGGGUGAGUAACACGUGAGUAACCUGCCCUUGACUUUGGGAUAACUUCAGGAAACUGGGGCUAAUACCGGAUAGGAGCUCCUGCUGCAUGGUGGGGGUUGGAAAGUUUCGGCGGUUGGGGAUGGACUCGCGGCUUAUCAGCUUGUUGGUGGGGUAGUGGCUUACCAAGGCUUUGACGGGUAGCCGGCCUGAGAGGGUGACCGGCCACAUUGGGACUGAGAUACGGCCCAGACUCCUACGGGAGGCAGCAGUGGGGAAUAUUGCACAAUGGGCGGAAGCCUGAUGCAGCAACGCCGCGUGCGGGAUGAUGGCCUUCGGGUUGUAAGCCGCUUUCGCCUGUGACGAAGCGUGAGUGACGGUAAUGGGUAAAGAAGCACCGGCUAACUACGUG
rnacentral:rRNA from 1 species